rnacentral:lncRNA from 1 species
CAACUCAUGUCAACAGCCAAAAUUGAGAAAUGCUGGGAGAUAAAGACAUUAUUGAGAUUCACUUAACUAAUCCCAACUAGUUCGGGAUUGACACUUAGUUGUUAAAAAUGCUGGAAGAUAAAGACAUUAUUGAGAUUCAAGUAACUAAUCCCAACUAGUUCGGGAUUGGCACUUAGUUGUUAUACUGCAGGAAAGGACAAAACAAACAUCCAGGUCAAAUAUCCUCUGCUAUAUCCGAAAAUCUAUACUCAGUAUGGUCAAGCUAGCAGUAAGCAAUGACUUUCACUAGGACGACCAUGCCAACAUCUCUAAUGCACACCAAAAGGACACA